CUGCGUUCACCAGCAACUUUAAUAUCCCAGCAACCUCUUUCAAAUUAUUUAUGCAGUUUUUGUAUAUCUUAAUUUAUUAAAGAAAAAAAGAAAAUUCAAGCUAAAUAGUAAAAGGAAUUAAGAGUUGCAGAAACUGAAAUAGAAAUAAAGAGAAUGACAGCAUUUCAGUGAGUGAAAAGAAUUAACAUAAGAUUAAAUCAGCGGACUCCUGGUGGAAUGAAUAUCUCCUGAAAACGUCAGGAAACAUCUUUAGGCACAGAGCUCAGAAAAAGCACGCAACUGACUUUUAACAUUGUAAACCAAUAAUCACCAACCUUUCUAACGACCGGUAUUCUUAAUGGGAACAGAAGUGAAAAGAGCAUCUAGCUGACCGAAACGCUAGGGUUUUCACACCCGAUCUUCUAAAGAAUUGAGACCAUUCCAGCCCCGUCAACCUGGUUCUCAAACCUGCAGUUACACUUACCAGUCACUUAUACAGGUAUCCGAACUUUCACAAGGCAAGGUGAGAACAUGGAGCCUCGGACACAAGACAUCUAGGAGCUGCCUAAACAGGCAGUGGAAAGAAACCGGAGCACCAGGAAGAAACCCACUAAGUCACGGGAAGAAGACGCAAAAGCAUUACAGAUAGUGGUGUAUGCGAACUUCCAUUGCUGGUGGUGUAAAGUGUUACAGCACUACCAUGCCACUGCAGCUUGUGGCAAAUAAAACAAGAUACCUCUUUCAGGACCCUGGGGUGUAGUCCGUCGGACCGAAGUGACUCACCUACCUUCAGACCUUUCAGCAUCCCAAGCACCUUCUGCUUAGUGAAUACUAAUUUUUAAUUAACAAGUGCCACACAGAAGAGCCAAUCAGCCAAAAUAGCAAUGUCGUACAAAUGUGUAGUUAGAUUUGGUUACAUAUUAUGAAGAAAGUACAUUAAGCCUAAUGCAUAGUGUUUGUCUUGCAUUUGAUCUGCAGACUAUUUUAAAAUAACAAAUUCUGUAAACUAACUCAAUGAUCAUUUUUGUUCUGACAGUGACCAUCAAAGUCCACUAUUUUGCAUAGCACUUGAUAUUCCUUAUUUGAUCGAACAUAUAUUGUAAACUGUCUAGAUUACUGAACUAGUUUGAUCAUUUUAUCUGAUUGUAUUGUAUUUUAUCUUGUAUAUAUUGGUUUUAUUGUACCUCCUUGACUUCUGAGUCACA